GUGACACCUUAUUUUUAUACCAACACUCCCACAAUUGGUGACGACAUCAAAGAAGACCUGCGACGCAUUGUUACGGAAGUCGACUUAGACGCCCUUCUCAUCAGAACAACUCAGACAGAGUCUGCUCUAUUCGAGCCAGAGUGUCGUCUUACCGGACCAUCACUAUGGACGCACCUAGACAAUCUGGAAAAACAAGUAACUUUCGUUCAGUCGUUGGAGUUUGCC